UCAAAGAUGAUAAAAAAUGAAAAACCAAUUUGUAAAUUUAAAUUCUAGAACGGAAAUAUGAUCAUCCACUUAUUCUAUCAAUAACUAAUGAACAUAUGAUUGCAUUACAGCUUGAGAAUCUUUUUGAUUGACCCUGCAAAUUUCUUAUAGCAUGAUGAUGAGUAUAUCAUGAUAUCGCAUAUCAGAGGUCAAAUUUGAUAUCAGGCUAUUCUGUUGCAAAAUUAUGGUUGUAUAUUGCAAUGUCUCUCCAAUGUUUUUGGCUCUUUUGUAUAUUUAGCGCUAAAGUGUUGAACUUAUAUUUUCCCAGUUUGCCCAUAUGUCAAGAAAACACAUCAAAUGCCUCAACAUUGAGUGCAAUUCUGCGUCAUGGAAUCUCAG
rnacentral:misc_RNA from 1 species